rnacentral:rRNA from 1 species
CCUACGGGGGGCAGCAGUGAGGAAUAGUGGUCAAUGGGCGCGAGCCUGAACCAGCCAAGUCGCGUGAGGGAAGACGGUCCUAUGGAUUGUAAACCGCUGUUGUCGGGGAGCAAAAGACGACACGCGUGGCGUUCCGAGAGUACCCGAAGAAAAAGCAUCGGCUAACUCCGUGCCAGCAGCCGCGGUAAUACGGAGGAUGCGAGCGGUAGCCGGAUUUAUGGGGUGUAAAGGGUGCGCAGGCGGAAGAUCAAGUCAGCGGUAAAAUUGAGAGGCUCAACCUCUGCGAGCCGUUGAAACUGGUUUUCUUGCGUGAGCGAGACGUCUGCGGCAUGCGUGGUGUCGCGGU